UACGGAGGGUGCUAGCGUUGUUCGGAAUCACUGGGCGUAAAGGGCGUGUAGGCGGUCUGUUAAGUCUGGUGUGAAAUCCCCCCGCUCAACGGGGGAACGGCGCCGGAUACUGGCAGACUUGAGUACCGGAGAGGAAGGUGGAAUUCCGGGUGUAGUGGUGAAAUGCGUAGAUAUGCGGAGGAACACCGAUGGCGAAGGCAAUCCCCUGGGCCUGUACUGACGCUCAUGCACGAAAGCGUGGGGAGCAAACAGG
rnacentral:rRNA from 1 species